UACGUAGGGGGCAAGCGUUGUCCGGAUUUACUGGGCGUAAAGAGCGUGUAGGCGGCCAAGCAGGUCCGUUGUGAAAACUGGAGGCUUAACCUUCAGACGUCGACCGAAACUAUCUGGCUAGAGUCCGGAAGAGGAGAGUGGAAUUCCUGGUGUAGCGGUGAAAUGCGCAGAUAUCAGGAGGAACACCGGUGGCGAAGGCGGAUCUCUGGGCCGUAACUGACGCUGAGGAGCGAAAGCAUGGGGAGCGAACAGG
rnacentral:rRNA from 1 species